rnacentral:lncRNA from 1 species
AAUUAAGAUAAUCCUUUUUUUAUAAACUUAAUUAAUUUAACCAUCUCAAACCGAACACUAAAAAUUGCACUAUUUUAGUGUGACACUAUAAUUUUACUAUAAUUUGCUAUAAAGCCAUUAGGUUCUUAAGGACUGCAAAAAGGUUUUUUAAAAGCCCAUGAGAAACUAAAAUUAAUUUCAAAGCUAAACAGGAAAGUGUAGCUGUGGAAAUAAUACAUAGGCUAGAGUACAAAACAACAUCUAGUGUCCUUACAAACCGUUUCUCAAUCACCGAGAUGAAUCAAGAGAAUAUCAAAGCAUGACAGUUCAGACGAACACUCACUGGAAAUGGCUCCAGAUGGUUUCAAUGGGGGCGGCUGGCAACAGCCUCGGAACACCAGUGAGUUGGAGUAGGGCACUGAGAGAACAGAUCCCUUACUAACAUGGUGAAAGACAAAGAGCCAUAUACUACCCAGAGCCCAACACCUACUAAAUACUACCCAAAAACAAUUAUUCUAUUC